ACCGGGCGCGGUGGCUCAAGCCUGUAAUCCCAGCACUUUGGGAGGCCGAGACGGGCGGAUCACGAGGUCAGGAGAUCAAGACCAUCCUGGCUAACACGGUGAAACCCCGUCUCUACUAAAAAUACAAAAAACUAGCCGGGCGAGGUGGCGGGCNNNNNNNNNNGCCCGCCACCUCGCCCGGCUAGUUUUUUGUAUUUUUAGUAGAGACGGGGUUUCACCGUGUUAGCCAGGAUGGUCUCGAUCUCCUGACCUCGUGAUCCUCCCGUCUCGGC
rnacentral:SRP_RNA from 1 species